rnacentral:rRNA from 1 species
AUUGAACGCUGGCGGCAUGCCUUACACAUGCAAGUCGAACGGCAGCGGACCUUCGGGUGCCGGCGAGUGGCGAACGGGUGAGUAAUAUAUCGGAACGUACCUUUCAGUGGGGGAUAACGUAGCGAAAGUUACGCUAAUACCGCAUAUUCUGUGAGCAGGAAAGCAGGGGAUCGCAAGACCUUGCGCUGAUUGAGCGGCCGAUAUCAGAUUAGCUAGUUGGUGAGGUAAAGGCUCACCAAGGCGACGAUCUGUAGCGGGUCUGAGAGGAUGAUCCGCCACACUGGAACUGAGACACGGUCCAGACUCCUACGGGAGGCAGCAGUGGGGAAUUUUGGACAAUGGGCGCAAGCCUGAUCCAGCCAUGCCGCGUGAGUGAAGAAGGCCUUAGGGUUGUAAAGCACUUUAAUGAGGGAGGAGUAGGGUUCGUUGAAUAGGCGGAUCUGAGGACGUUACCUCAAGAAUAAGCACCGGCUAACU